UUAAUUUCUCACCUUUUUCUCACUUGGGGCUCUUGGUGAUGCUUCGCUUGGGUGCCUAGUUGAAGGUGCCUCGCCUAGAGGCUUCCCAAGCGAGGUGCCUAGAUUUCAGACAGUUUGGAUAAACGUGGACAAAUUCUUCAACCAUGCGGGCAUAGCACUUGAAAAAGAGUCAAAUGGUGGCUUGGUGGUUGAAAGGUGGAGCGUUAGCUUGGUGGGAAUGGCUACAAUCUAGAAGGAAGUGAGAAGGGAAAUAGCCAAUUUGUAUGUGGUUAUGAUAAAGUAUUUGCUGGAAAAAAUUUUUUUGCAUUUAUAUUAUGAACAUAUUUUAUUCCGGCAGAAAAAACAUUGUUAGCAAGAGGUCCAACCAAAGCCCUUAGUGGCUGAAAAAUGAAAAACUAAAGAAACAAAGGGAGCAUCGGGAUUCAAACAUGCAACUUGAAGUGAAGGAGUCUAAGUUUGAAGCGUCUGAACUACAAUCUUUGAUCGAGUUUGCUUUUGCUAUGAUUGAAGAUGAAGAGCUUGAGGAAU
rnacentral:misc_RNA from 1 species